rnacentral:rRNA from 1 species
ACGGGUGAGUAACACGUGGGCAACCUGCCCUUGAGACUGGGAUAACUUCGGGAAACCGGAGCUAAUACCGGAUAAUAUGAGGAACCUCCUGGUUCUUUAUUGAAAGAUGGUUUCGGCUAUCACUUAAGGAUGGGCCCGCGGCGCAUUAGCUAGUUGGUGAGGUAACGGCUCACCAAGGCGACGAUGCGUAGCCGACCUGAGAGGGUGAUCGGCCACACUGGGACUGAGACACGGCCCAGACUCCUACGGGAGGCAGCAGUAGGGAAUCUUCCACAAUGGACGAAAGUCUGAUGGAGCAACGCCGCGUGAGUGAUGAAGGCCUUCGGGUCGUAAAGCUCUGUUGUUAGGGAAGAACAAGUGCGAGAGUAACUGCUCGCACCUUGACGGUACCUAACCAGAAAGCCACGGCUAACUACGUGCCAGCAGCCGCGGUAAUACGUAGGUGGCAAGCGUUAUCCGGAAUUAUUGGGCGUAAAGCGCGCGCAGGUGGUUUCUUAAGUCUGAUGUGAAAGCCCACGGCUCAACCGUGGAGGGUCAUUGGAAACUGGGGAACUUGAGUGCAGAAGAGGAAAGUGGAAUU